CAAGUCGAACGGGACUUUUUUCUGUAGCAAUACAGAGAAAAGUCUAGUGGCGAACGGGUGCGUAACACGUGAGCAACCUGCCGUGAAGUGGGGGAUAGCUCGCCGAAAGGCGAAUUAAUACCGCAUGUGGCCAGGAAGGACAUCCUUCCGACGCCAAAGCCGGGGCAACCUGGCGCUUCUCGAGGGGCUCGCGGCCUAUCAGCUUGUUGGUGAGGUAACGGCUCACCAAGGCUAUGACGGGUAGCUGGUCUGAGAGGACGACCAGCCACACUGGAACUGAGACACGGUCCAGACACCUACGGGUGGCAGCAGUCGAGAAUUUUCCACAAUGGGGGAAACCCUGAUGGAGCGACGCCGCGUGGAGGAUGAAGGUUUUCGGAUUGUAAACUCCUGUCAUUAGAGAACAAGGCACACGGUUUAACUGGCCGUGUGUUGAUAGUAUCUGAAGAGGAAGAGACGGCUAACUCUGUGCCAGCAGCCGCGGUAAUACAGAGGUCUCAAGCGUUGUUCGGAUUCAUUGGGCGUAAAGGGUGCGUAGGUGGCGAUGUAAGUCGGAUGUGAAAUCUCCAAGCUUAACUUGGAAACUGCAUUCGAUACUGCGUUGCUAGAGGACUGUAGAGGGCAUUGGAAUUCACGGUGUAGCAGUGAAAUGCGUAGAUAUCGUGAGGAAGACCAGUGGCGAAGGCGAAUGCCUGGGCAGUUCCUGACACUGAGGCACGAAGGCCAGGGGAGCAAACGGGAUUAGAUACCCCGGUAGUCCUGGCAGUAAACGGUGCACGUUUGGUGUGGGAGGAUUCGACCCCUUCCGUGCCGGAGCUAACGCGUUAAACGUGCCGCCUGGGGAGUACGGUCGCAAGAUUAAAACUCAAAGAAAUUGACGG
rnacentral:rRNA from 1 species